UGAUCAUCUUAUUGUAUAUAUUUCAUUCAGUUGAUAAUUUUUAUUACCAUUUUCAACGUAAGUUCUAUUUCAUGGCCAAGAAGUCUCCAUAUGAUAUCUUCUUAAACCUAUCUUGAACAUUCAGUGACUACAUUAAAUUGGAAAACAACAGUACCAUUUAAGAAUGAUCAAAGCUGUCAUGUAAGAAAUUGCAGGGAAUUUUAACAUAUUCAAGACUAUAUCACCAUGCUGGAUUGGACUGCUUUCCUCAGAGAAGUGUUUUAAAUACAAUUUCAUUUUGUGAGCACUCUA